rnacentral:lncRNA from 1 species
UGCCCCACUUAUUCUCAGAUCUGAUCUGAGAUCUAAAGAGAGAUUUUAGAGAGAGAGAGGAAGAGAAGAAGAAGGGUUCUUCUUUCUUGGUGUCCAGUUCAGAUCCCAUCAGAUUAGCGUGAAGAGUUCGUGCUAUAGUCCUGUUCUUCUAGAUCUUAAAGGAGUCCAGAUCCAAGUUAAAGAGCGAGGCUUACAAGGUGCUAGUCCUCUGAUGGUCUUAAUAUUCUGAUCA